UCUAUACAGGCUGCUAGUUACAAUUCAAUUACAUAUUCGUCUAUGCCUCUCCUCUCGCCCCUACACACAUAUACGCAUACAUACAUAUUGUAUAGCAUAUACUUAUUGGCAUUUUCUUAUAUGCGUUCAGUAUUGCAAAAAGCUCGCACCUCGUCACUAACCUAGUGAGCUUACACAUAACUAUUUGCAAUUAUACAUACAAUCAUGCAUAUUUAUCAAAAGGCGUAGUCGUGUUUUUCAAAACUUCGGCGAAAUAUUUUACUAAGCAUUCUAUCCACAAAUGGUAUAUAAAUAUAGUAUUAUGUGUACAUAUGUAAAAUAUAUAGUUAAUAUAUUUGUGCUGUUGUGUUCUAAAUGUUAUCUACGCAUUGCACAUGCAUUUUAGAUCAGUUGAGUCAGUUUGUUUAGCUCCACUCAGUUUUAGUUCGUCUCAAUUAUCGUAACGUUCUAUUGCACAUCCACCCAUACAUAUACAUGCACAUAUGUAUACAGACGAAUUUGUGUGGAUGUGUUUGGCUAAAUUCGCAUUUCAAUUCAUUCCCUCCAACUACUCGGAUUCCUAUAUAUCUAUCUCAUACUAUUUUUACGAAAAGGUAGUGGUGUUAGAAUGCAUGCGAACGUGCGUUUGUUUGCCGCCGUUCCGAAGCCUUUUAUGUACACCCCACUGCCCCUACUAGCCAAUUCGACGGUGAGGCGCGGAGUGUUUUCCUACCCGCAUACUUGAAAACAAGCGGCGCAAUGAAAAUAUUAUUGAAUUAUAUAAAUAUCUUUCAAUGAAACGUUUAUUUGAUGUUUUAAGGCGGUAUGCGAGUAGUUGUUCUUACCCGCGUUGUGUUGCAUUGUGUGUAUGCGAGCGUUGUAAACACUUAGAAAUAACCUUUUUCAUGGCAUUUCCCUCUUUGCAAUAGGAACUGCCGCUACCGCUUGUCAACCAUCGAGCAGGCGGCGGUUGAUUCGCUUGGAGGCACGACAGCACAGAGCUUUUGCUUCGGUUCUACAGAUGCCUGCAAUACGCAUGUGUGAUUCGAUUGCAUUCGGGUUCGUGAUUUCAGUUAAAUUAUUAACGAUAACGUCUAUCUGCUCACCUAUCACUCGAAUUCAAAAGCUUCCGGUUAGCGCGAUUUAGUUAUUUCUCGAAACUCUCAAGGUCCUUCGAUACUAUAACAUCAUUCAAUUAUGAGUAAUGAUAUCCACGGCAAGAGCUCUUUUUUUGGACAUGUCAUGAAAGGUGAGGUGGCAACGGCUGAGUUUUUGGAAUUUGUAAAUAAAAAUUUUACAAGGUACGACUAAAAUAUGUAUCUUUCAUAUGCUGAACUGUUUAAAUGAAAUAUAUGAUUGUAUAUAUAGUAACAAAUUGUAAAAAUACCCUUGUUUUCAAUCUCUGAAACCCCACCUAACCACUUAAUUUGCUUCAAUCUAUUAUCUACUCAGUACUAUAAUAAUCAACCGUUAAUACUUGGAUACUAUUGAAACGACAGUCUUAAUGUAAACCGAUUAUUACAUAAUCAUCUUCAUAUAGCGGUAAUUGCAAGGAAACAUCCUCCAAAUUUAACAGUAGUAAUAGAACUGUUCGAAUUCGGCGCAUUAUCUAAAUUGGGUAUGUACCGAUUAAAAUCUUAAAAGUCGCUCCCCAACCACAACUCAACAACCGUUUACUAAACAGUGUUUGACAUGCGGUAUCCACAUUUCUCUUAAGGGGCUCAUCUCAUGUAAAGGGCUUAAAAAAUUUAUAUUUUUAGUUUUUUCCAUAAAUUGCUUUCUUAACAUGUCUAUAAUACGAUUAAAUGUGAUUUUUAAAAAUUGGAAGUCGUUUUAAAGAUACAGCAGUUAUAAGAAAGAGCUGUUCGAAGCGCCAACUUGAAAUUGUUAGGGUAAGGGUUGUCAGCAUAUGUAAACGCAAUCAAAAAUUCGCAAAAUAUCGAUUUUCUUUUCUUUAGCAUAAAACCAUAAAAUAUUUACUGGUCGUAGAAUGAAUUCCUAAAAAAACAGGCCGUUACAUGGGAUGACCCCCUUAAAUAAACUGGGUUUCUUGUUCUUAUAAUUUAAAUCUGUAUAAAUAUAUUUCGGGAUAAUUGACUAUAAUAGCUUUCCGAAAUUACAUGUUACAUUUGAAAGUCAUUUACGCCAAUGUGUAUUAAGGAUACUCACCGUUUUCGAAAGUAAAGAUUCACUCCUUUAGCUGAGCCAUUAUCCUUAAUAUGUCCGAAUGCUGGCAAACGAUAAUGCGAAGAGUCGAGGUGAUUCUUUUGUACAUAUAUAUUUCCAAUUACAUUACGUAUUAGUUUUCUACACUUUCAUAUUAUGUCAUGUGCAUUAUUUAUCCAUUACACACUUGCUAUUGUCAAUUCGUGAAUAUUUAUUUGUUUGAUAACAACAACAACAGUGAUGACAUCGGUCGCAGAGACCUCACAGGAGGAGCAGGAGGUGGAGAGGCAGUUUAAGCGGCUCAGCGUCGAAAACAGAGACAAUUUCAGCACAUGCAUAUAUGUAUGUAUGUACGUGCAAUUACAAAUGUAAAUAUGUACCGUAGCGCGGUGUGACGAAUGCAACGACAACAACAGUAACAAGCAAAGUAAUAAUACGGCAGUGACAGUCGUCGUCGCUACGGUUGCUUGUAGCUGGUGUCUGUGGUGUUCAGGCACUGGCAGUGGCGGUGGCAGUGACGUAAGGAGACGUCGGAGGUCGUACUCUUCUACUCUCACUCGCGCGGCAACGUUUAAACAGCAGCACACUCUGUCGUUGACCCCGUGCGAUGUGAUACGAUGUGAUGUGAUGUAUUGAUAUCGCAUGCAAUUGUAGGUUUAUUGCCCUUGGGGUAGACGAUAUUCGUACAAGCCGAAUUCAUUCACAUUACAAAUGUAUGCAUGUAUGUACACACGCUAUAUCGACGGAUGAGUAUGCCCGCGCUUUUGUACACUUUCUUAUUUGUAGAAACCAAUAUAUAUUUUAACAAACACAAACACACUAUUCUUAUGAUUUAAACGCGCUUUACGGUUAAAAAAUGACGUAUUUUAUGAGUAAUUAAUAUUUUUUAGUUUAAGUUAUUGGUAGACACAUUCGUAUAUACGUAUUCAAUUUUCAUAACGUACGAUUAUGAAUUGAAUUUCCGAAAAUUUUUAAAAAAAAUUUCGAGUUUUCAUAUAUUCCGAAAUGCCGCACGAAUAUGGUUGUUGUUGUUUUUGUUUUUGUUGUAUUGUCAGCUUUGCAUUAAUGCUAAAAUGAAAUCAAAUAUACACUCAUUCAAAUAUAAAGUUCAUACAAAGGCACAUACAUACACACAUACGAGUGAUUGUAUGUAUGUAUGUAUAUACACAUUUUUACACUCGCACAUACAUAUGUAAGCAUAUGUAUGCGUAAGUGUAUGUAUGUUGCGACUAUAGAUUAUAAAAAGCUCGACUAGAGGUAAAUGGCAAAUGCAUUUCACGCUUCCUCUUGCAGUGGCCGUGGCAUUCACAGAAAACUUAGCGACUAAGGCGGCGACGCGGACGGCGGCAACGCUUUCGAGCACGCUCAGGGACUCCGCUGAUUGUUGAUAUGCGAGCGUGCGAGCGUAUAACUGCAUCGGCAUCGACGUUGAUGGCCAACAAAAAACAACAAAAUAUUUAUUCGUUGAUUAUAAAGCAAAAUCCAUGUGUUACGCGAUUGCAAUUGUUGUUGUUGCUGUUAUUGUUAUUGCUGCAGUUGAUACUGCUGAUUACAUAUAAUGAUGGCGAUGAUUAUGAUUACGUAGAUGAUGAAGUUAAUCGUGCAGCCGACCAGCCGACCAGCCGACUGACUGAUCGCAUAAAGUCUUUGGCAGCGCUCGGUGAAUGCAAGUGGCGCAGCAGCUGUUGCAGCGGGUGUUUUGCUGGCAGUGAGUUUGCUCUGCGCUGCUGGCUUGGCAGACUGGCUGGAUGGUGGGUGUCAGUGACACCUUCGCGUAAGCAAUAAUAUUGCGAAAAGUUCAAAAUUCGACGUUACGAGUUGUAAUUGCCAAAACAAAAAAAAAUAAUAAUGAACACGAAAUUUCCGCGAAAUUUCACAACUUUGAAUUCCUUUUAGUUUUUUUUAGCAACUGAGAUUUUUAACGAUGUUAAACGUUUUCUAAUUCUAAAUAUUUCGAAUUAUAAGUUUUUGUGACUUUAUAAUUAUUUAAUACAUUUAAUUUUUCGCAGAGUUUGCGCUUUGAAGAGUUCAUUCACUGACUCUAUUCUUAAAAUAUUAUCCAGUAUAUUUAAAUUGUUUUACAUAUUUUGAGGAUUCAACGUUUUUAAAGAAGCCAAUUUGUACUCCAAUCGAGCCACAUUCACAGAUUUCAAUAAUAAAUGCAAACUGCUCACACUUCAAUGAUUCGUCUUUAUUAUCUUCAAUAUUUACACACACAAGUAUCGAUAUUAGUGCUAAACUUUGAAUUUUAUUUUUUACCUUGUAAAAGUAUGCGUUACAGGAAGGCACAACACUAAAAUGUUUUUGUUUACAUAUCCACACAUAUGCACAUGUUUAUAUGUAAUUAAUAAUUUUCUAAUUAGAACUUUACUGCCGAUCCGUUAUGCUAGUAACGGAAAUUAUUUGAUCUCGAAUGGUUCAAAAUAUGAUUCCACAUCGCGGGUAACAACUAUGGUGACGACACCAACGCGACAGUAGGUCCAAUAAAUGGAGACGCGCUUAGUGGUAGGUCGGUACCGUCAUAAAACUGUAUUUGUAUUUGCGCGCAAAUUUUUUUUUGUUCAAUUGCUACCGAAUAAGCAAUUUAAAAAGCGAAACCGAAAAAAACGAAAACGAUGCGGAACAGACGAGCGAAUGCGAAUGCGCGAUGCGAAAAAUUGAAAAACUGUUCGGAAGACUCGCAAAAUCCGGCCGCUUGACUUACACCCGCUGAACGAAUUAAUCCACGUUUAUUUGCAACAACCGUCUUUUGUCGCAGUCAUAAUAAGACUAACGUCUCGCGGAGACCCAGUACACAUUGGCUGCGGUGUGCGCGCUUUGCGAAACCCAUUAGCAGCUGCGGCAGAAACAUGCCAAUGCAUGCAAUAGCAGCAACAGUGGCAGCGGUGGCGAUAACAUCGUGAGCGUACUCAAUGUUGCAGUUUGCACUUUGCUCUGUGUGUGUUACGUGUGUAUAUAUCCAAAUUUAGCAGAUUGCCUACGCUUGCUCCAAGAGUGGCGAUUUGUGCGAGCGUUUCGCAGAGCGUAGUGCUCUACGGCCAAGUCAGUCGCGUAGCAAACGUUGUCGUGUGCGCAUACACAAUCAAGCUUCAAGUUCAUCCACUGAACUUCAAAGCUUUGCUGCCAAGCAACCAUAUCUACAGCGUUGUGCAGUUACUCGGCGUGCACCGUCAUCGACGCCACCUUCAGGUUCAAAAACAUUGGGGCUCGAGCUAUGUGUGUCUGAUUUCGCUAUGUUUACUUUAUUACACGCUGCACUAAAAUACACGAUUAUUCUCUCUCUCUUUCUCCCUCUUUUCUCUGUGGGUCUCUCUAACUCUCGCUUCAUGUGGAGGAGCGUAUACGUGAAAUGCUCUAGUGAGCUGGUGAAAUAUUUAGAAUUGACUAAUAGUUACCGGUUCCGAGGACUGGAUUGUGCUACUCAAUUUUAACGUAGAUUGUGAUAUGGGUACUCAGGGUAGGGAUGCAACCGAGACUCUGCUCCUCUUUGUCCUGAGAAUUUUACUCAUAAAAUUUUCCGAAUAUAAUUAAUUUCUGAAGGGUUCGGGGUACUUAUUAACGUCGCAGCUUACCACCGUCGCAAAAUCUAAGAUGUUGAAAAAGAAGUAUUACGCCAAUACAGGAAGAGGUAUUAUGUCAAAGUACUAAUGACAACGCGAAAUCGGAUCGACCAAGGUAAUUUUUAGAAUAAUUGUGGUGUUCGAAUUCAAUAACCAUAGUACAAAUCAAAUCAAACUAAAAAAAUGGAACUGUGUCCUUUGUAUCGGCGUGAUUUCACAAUUUUUUCUAAUUUUAAAGUAAAAAUAUUCCCAAAAGAACUCAUUCCUAUAAACUCCAUUUGUCCGGUAAGAGACCUCAUAUAUUUUGUCGGGAAAAGUCAAUUAGAGAAAACCAUUAUAUGCGGUACAAAGUGACUAGUCCGCUAAGCCAUAUUUGGUCAUGUUCUCCUAAUUUCAUUAAAAUACCACACACAUAUGUUGACCGAAUCUUUGUUUCUAGUGUCUCAUACUUAAAGUGGGUAAAUUAUUGUGGGUUUCUGGCUUUCAAAAUGAGAUCUCUCAAAUGUUUUCUGAUUGUCCUUAUACUCAUAUUCGGGUACCUUCGCACUUUUUUGUCUUUCUAUCAUUUCAAGUGAAAUAAGUUUAGUUUAUUUAAUAUUUAGGGAACUUGCCAAUACUUUCGUUUUUCCUUUUUGGUCGACCUUUGCUGAUUUUCUUUAUAUUUUUUUAGUUUUUUCUUUAUUAAAUUUACAGUUCCUUCGGGGUAGUACUUAGAACACACCUAAUAUGUUAAGAAAAUGUAUUGUUUUUAUCUUAGUCAAUUCUAAUUGAAUUGUUUUAUCAGUAAUAAUAUGCUCUAAGCCAGAAUUAUAUAUUCAUUUUUAAACAAGAACAAGUUAAAGACAGCACUGCUAACAGCUCAAAAAGAACGAUCAACAUUAAAUGCGCUCGUAAAUAGAAAUAACGCAAACCCUAUUAAUACUCAUUUUCUGUACCGUUUUGUGAAUCGUAAAACACAAUUUUAGAUGAAAUUUCUAUAACAACUAGAAAGCGCUUCUAAUUAAAUAAUGUGACAAUUGACACUACUAUUAAGCUGCAAGAUAGUCACCCUUGUCAUGUUAUUAUAGAAUAUAGGGAUCCAAGAGUUACAGAGUAGUCAAAAUACAAUAACUGCUUUUUAACGCACUAUUUAUUAUACAUUGAAUAUAUGUACUUCAGAUUUAUGGACAAUAUAAUAUAACUACAUUGCUAUUGUAAACAGAUCUCAGAUAUUUAUUUGCGUAUAUUAACUACGACAUUUUUGUCUUGGGAAGGUGGAUUCGACGAGUUAUUAAGCAAAGCUGUGAGUGUUGCAUGCGAUGAGCUUAACGUGCUAGGCUUUGUAAGAGGAUUUGUAUCACUGGAGCUGGUGGCUACAUUGCUACUUCCAGUAUUUGCAUUAUUUUUAUUGUUUUUAAUAAAA